rnacentral:lncRNA from 1 species
GGGGCAGUAUCUUAUACCCAUCUUUCAUUUAAAGUUAUCGAACUCUUUGAUCUCGAGAGCUUUAGUGAAGGAUUCGGCUAGGUUCUCCUUUCUGUUGAUCUUCUGAAGUUCGACGUCAUCUCGAUUCACGAUCUCUUGCACCAGAUAAUAGUGAUACAGAACAUGCAGCAUCCAAUACAGCAUUGUAUUCUACUUCGCAUAC